rnacentral:rRNA from 1 species
GAUGAACGCUAGCGAUAGGCUUAACACAUGCAAGUCGAGGGGCAGCAUGGUCUUAGCUUGCUAAGACUGAUGGCGACCGGCGCACGGGUGCGUAACGCGUAUGCAACUUGCCUCACAGAGGGGGAUAACCCGUCGAAAGACGGACUAAUACCGCGUACACUUGGGAUAGGGCAUCCUGACCCAAGGAAAUGAAAUUCGCUGUGAGAUAGGCAUGCGUCCCAUUAGCUAGUUGGUGAGGUAACGGCUCACCAAGGCGACGAUGGGUAGGGGAACUGAGAGGUUGAACCCCCACACUGGUACUGAGACACGGACCAGACUCCUACGGGAGGCAGCAGUGAGGAAUAUUGGUCAAUGGGCGAGAGCCUGAACCAGCCAAGUCGCGUGAAGGAUGACUGUCUUAUGGAUUGUAAACUUCUUUUAUACGGGAAUGACAAGAGCCACGUGUGGCUCCCUGCAUGUACCGUAUGAAUAAGCAUCGGCUAACUCCGUG